UUUGACGAUGGAUUACCAGUGAGCGGCGGACGGGUGAGUAACACGUGGGCAACCUGCCCUGGAGCGGGGGAUAACAUCUGGAAACAGGUGCUAAUACCGCAUGACUACUAAAACCACAUGGUUUUAGUAUAAAAGAAGGCUUCGGCUUUCACUCUAGGAUGGGCCCGCGGUGCAUUAGCUAGUUGGUAAGGUAACGGCUUACCAAGGCGAUGAUGCAUAGCCGAGUUGAGAGACUGAUCGGCCACAAUGGAACUGAGACACGGUCCAUACUCC
rnacentral:rRNA from 1 species